rnacentral:rRNA from 1 species
ACCAGCAGCCAUAUCGCCCUGCAACUCACAAGUGGCAGCCCCACUGAAGCUCAGCAGAUGUGAGCCUGGUCAGUACCUGGAUGGGAAACCCCCUGUGGAAAACUAAGGUCGCUGUUGGAA